rnacentral:rRNA from 1 species
UACAGAGGGGGCAAGCGUUGUUCGGAAUUACUGGGCGUAAAGCGCACGUAGGCGGCUUUGUAAGUUAGAGGUGAAAGCCCGGGGCUCAACUCCGGAACUGCCUUUAAGACUGCAUCGCUUGAAUCCAGGAGAGGUGAGUGGAAUUCCGAGUGUAGAGGUGAAAUUCGUAGAUAUUCGGAAGAACACCAGUGGCGAAGGCGGCUCACUGGACUGGUAUUGACGCUGAGGUGCGAAAGCGUGGGGAGCAAACAGG